CUAGAUCCAAAAUUUCAUAAAUUUCUCUUCAAAAAUUAAGAAUAUAAAGCACUGAUUUCUUGGCAAUCCACUAGCAAUCCACUAGGCUUUUUUAAGAAAAAUGAAAAAAAGAGAGAGCAUAAAGUGGAAAAAUAAAGCCAAUAAUAUAUGAGAAAUUCAAGGCAAAAAAAACGUUCUCAAUGUUAAAUUCAAUCUAGAAAUCCAUUUUUUCCCAUAUUGCAUUACGAACCCUACUAAAAUCUCUUCCUUUUAGGGUUCUCCCAAGCCCUUCAUGCAAUGAGAAGGAAAUGGUCCUCGUCCUCGCCAUUUGCCUAGCUAAAAACUCAUGAGGCGGGACCCAAUUCUCCGAUCCUCUUCGUCGUCGUGGUCGUCCUCGAAAUCAUCCUCAUCAACGUCCCUCUGGCGAUUCACCUUGUACUUUUCCUUCAGUAUCUUUGAACAGUCCAAUAUAUUAACCGGCAGAGAUGCCGAUCCAUUGUCGGUAACUCCAUUCGUUGCCGAAGACUUCUUUCGAGAGAUUCUCGAAUUGGCUUUCUGGAACUCCGGCGAAAUCGAUUGAGAAGCCUUGUUCUAGAUAGCGGACUCGUCGAGCUUGAAGAUCAUUGAAUCUUUGGUAAGUAUCUGAUUGGUCAGUAGGAAUCUGUAGGUUUUUGAUGUCGCCAUUGGUUGAAAUCGUUGGGUUUUACUCCAAAAUCUCUCUGUAUGAAAAUGAAUGUAUCCAUGCACUAUGUGAUACUUUUUAAUGGGGGGUUUUGGUAUGCUUUUAUAAAGCCUUUAAAUGG
rnacentral:lncRNA from 1 species